GGGCCUAUAGCUCAGCUGGUUAGAGCAUCUGACUCAUAAUCAGGGGGUCCCAGGAUCAUGCCCUGGUGGGCCCA
rnacentral:tRNA from 1 species